GUCUUUUUGAUUUUAAUUUGAAGUCUAAUCUGCCCACUGAUAAUUUAAAGGGCCGCAGUAUAUUAACUGUGCAAAGGUAGCAUAAUCAUUAGUCUUUUAAUUGGAGGCUUGUAUGAAUGAUUGGACGAGAUAUUGACUGUCUCAAAUAAAUUUUUAUAGAAUUUUAUUUUUUAGUUAAAAAGCUAAAAUGUAUUUAAAAGACGAGAAGACCCUAUAGAUCUUUAUAUUUAUAUUAUAUUGUUUUAUAUGAAUUACUUUAAAUAAUAUUAUAAAUAAUAUUUUGUUGGGGUGACAUUGAAAUUUAAUAAACUUUCAAUUUUUUAAAAACAAAAAUUAUUGAAUUUUUGAUCCUUUAUUAUUGAUAAAAAAUUUAAGUUACCUUAGGGAUAACAGCGUAAUUAUUUCGAAGAGUUCAUAUCGAUGAAAUAGAUUGCGACCUCGAUGUUGGAUUAAGAUUAAUUCUAGGCGUAGCAGUUUAGUAUAUUAAGUCUGUUCGACUUUUAAAUUCUU
rnacentral:rRNA from 1 species